UACGUAGGGUGCGAGCGUUAAUCGGAAUUACUGGGCGUAAAGCGUGCGCAGGCGGUUAUGUAAGACAGAUGUGAAAUCCCCGGGCUCAACCUGGGAACUGCAUUUGUGACUGCAUGGCUAGAGUACGGUAGAGGGGGAUGGAAUUCCGCGUGUAGCAGUGAAAUGCGUAGAUAUGCGGAGGAACACCGAUGGCGAAGGCAAUCCCCUGGACCUGUACUGACGCGCAUGCAAGAAAGCGGGGGGAGCACACAGGAUGCGAUAACCGUGUAGUCC
rnacentral:rRNA from 1 species